GUGGGGAAUAUUGUACAAUGGGCGAAAGCCUGAUGCAGCAACGCCGCGUGAGGGACGACGGCCUUCGGGUUGUAAACCUCUUUUAGUAGGGAAGAAGCGAAAGUGACGGUACCUGCAGAAAAAGCACCGGCUAACUACGUGCCAGCAUCCGCGGUAAUACGUAGGGUGCAAGCGUUAUCCGGAAUUAUUGGGCGUAAAGAGCUCGUAGGCGGUCUGUCGCGUCUGCUGUGCAAACUGGAGGCUCAACCUCCAGCCUGCAGUGGGUACGGGCAGACUAGAGUGCGGUAGGGGAGAUUGGAAUUCCUGGUGUAGCGGUGGAAUGCGCAGAUAUCAGGAGGAACACCGAUGGCGAAGGCAGAUCUCUGGGCCGUAACUGACGCUGAGGAGCGAAAGCGUGGGGAGCGAACAGGAUUAGAUACCCCUGUAGUCC
rnacentral:rRNA from 1 species